rnacentral:tRNA from 1 species
GCCUGGCUAGCUCAAUCGGUAGAGCGUGAGACUCUUAGUAAAUCUCAAGGCUGUGGGUUCAAGCCCCACGUCGGGCU